rnacentral:rRNA from 1 species
AGCGAACGCUGGCGGCAGGCCUAACACAUGCAAGUCGAACGCGUCCUUCGGGACGAGUGGCAGACGGGUGAGUAACGCGUGGGAACGUACCCUUUGGUUCGGAACAACUCCGGGAAACUGGAGCUAAUACCGGAUAAGCCCUUCGGGGGAAAGAUUCAUCGCCAGAGGAUCGGCCCGCGUUAGAUUAGCUUGUUGGUGAGGUAAUGGCUCACCAAGGCUACGAUCUAUAGCUGGUCUGAGAGGAUGAUCAGCCACACUGGGACUGAGACACGGCCCAGACUCUUACGGGAGGCAGCAGUGGGGAAUCUUGGACAAUGGGCGAAAGCCUGAUCCAGCCAUGCCGCGUGAAUGAUGAAGGCCCUAGGGUUGUAAAAUUCUUUCGACGGGGAAGAUAAUGACGGUACCCGUAGAAGAAGCUCCGGCUAACUUCGUGCCAGCAGCCGCGGUAAUAC